rnacentral:rRNA from 1 species
CAAUAGCGUAUAUUAAAGUUGUUGCGGUUAAAAAGCUCGUAGUUGGAUUUCUGUUGAGGUCGGCCGGUGUGCAUUACGUGUAUUAUCAGGUUUGGUCUUGGCAUCCUCUGAGGCACGAGGGACUUUAUUGGCUCUCGAGUUUUCAGACUUUUACUUUGAGGAAAUUAGAGUGUUCACGGCAAGCAAGCGCUUUGAAUACAUUAGCAUGGAAUAAUAAUAUAGGACCUUCGUUCUAUUUUGUUGGUUUCUUAGAACUUGGUAAUGAUUAAUAGGGACAAUUGGGGCGAUUCGUAUUAACGCGUCAGAGGUGGAAAUUACUUAGAUUGCGUUACGGCGAACUACUGCGAAGCAUUUGUCCAAAGAUGUUUUCUAUUGAUCAAGAACGAAAGUAUGGGGAUCAAAGACGAUCAGAUACCGU